UGCAAACUACUUAACGGGCUGCGUUAAUUGAGCCAGCAGCUUCCAGUCAGUAAGAACUCAGAUGUCAAAAGCACUGAAAAACAAUAAACCAGUAAUGGCAUUAAAAACAAAACUGAGAAUGGCCAGUGAAUUAUUAUGUCACCUUUGGAUAGAGUCCUUCCAGACCAAGAGGUAUGUCAUGCUAGAAGGAGAGAGAAGCCACAACUCUGUUCAGUGUACCAGUCUCUAGUUUUAAGAAUGAAAACUUCAUUAAUGCCUGAAGUUUGACUGUUAAUGGGAAGACAAAGCCAUAAAUCCUGUACUUGGCCAGCUCUCUUCUUCACUGAUUUUUGGACCUGUGGUUUUCUGGGGGAAGAGGGUGUUCUGUUUGUGUUUGGUUUUUUUUGUUUUUGUGUUGUUUUGUUUUUUUUUUUUUAAGGCUUUGAUCUCCCUUUAGAAGAUGGCAAGGAGAGGAAGAGGUGCAAGUCACAGGAGGAAUGAAACAUAUUUGUGUCAGACCCAUUUGUUCACCCUGAGGCUUAGCUCAGCACUGGCUGAAUACACAGUCAUUUUCCAAACUUGACUUUCGACUGUCAAGGCUUACAUUUAUUAAACACUUCUCAUAUCAUUUUCAGAGUUGAAUAGGAGUUCAAAAUGUUCUGCAAACUGCUACACAAAAGGUAUUCAAAUUACAGGGUCAGUGACUAUAUUUUCCCUUCUUUCUAUUUAGUUGUUUUUCUUUUAUGUUUCAUCAUCCACAGGGAAUAUGCACAGGAAAAAAAGACCUGGGAGGCCAGAGACUGAAGAAGGGAAGAGAGGGAGUUGAGAACAAGAGCAAGAGGGAAGAGAGAGCUAGUGGGAAACAGGGAAUGUUGGCUUUAACUGGAGCUGCUGACCCCACCAUGCUGGGACCUACAGCACUUUCUGUGCAGUCAUCACUGAAACAGCUUGAACAUGAUUAGCCCAGUUACAGCCCCUUCAGGAAGAUGCCUGUUGAGGCUUUCUUUCACCCUGUAUAUUGACUCUGAGACAACAUAUUUCAAACUCCUGGAAGCCUGACUUCCUCUGGCCACUCUACAUAAAUAGGAAACCAGUUCUGAACCUCCUCAUCCUGCAGUGCACCCCCACCUCUGUGAAUAUUUUUCCCACUCUGCGCCUGCAUUGCCAGCACACCAGCAUAGAAGAUAACACUCCAUGCUUUGAGGAAUCGCCUGUUGAUCAGUCUUGCUGUGCUAAGAUGUGUAUGCUAAAACUGUGUUACCUUUGCUAGGAUGUUGAAAUGAGUACUUUGUGAUACUAGUGGAUUAAAUCAUAAAUAUAAUAAACUCAAUAUUUAUUAGGA